rnacentral:rRNA from 1 species
GGAUCUCUCCCAAUCUUCUUUACAACCCUAUUAAAAGCUUUUCCCAAUCUAUCUGCGAAUUACCCCCUAUAAAAAGUACUUUAAAGGAAACCCUAAAUACCUAAAACUAGAGACCCCUCGUACCUCGUGUAUAAUGGUUCUGCAAGUCAAACCCUUAUUGCCCAAUCCCGAAAAGAAAGUGAGCUGAUUAAAUCUCGUUAAGAACCCAUUUUUAUUUGUUGCAAAAAAUUUUAAAAAGAUCUAUUCAGAGGCUACAUACCUUUCGCACUUCCCUAUAGCUGGUUUUUCUAUAACUCUAUCUAAGUAGACCCAGCAACCUAUUUUGCUCGGGUAUUAAUCACAGGAUAAGCUCUGAUUAAAUCACUAUCUAAUACCACCAAUCUCCAUAUAAAGGCCUCACAUCAGCCACUAUCAUUAUAAACGUUAUAGCAUAUUAACACCACCUUUAAUUUUAUCCCAAAAUGUUACCCCUACAGAAAUUCAUUUCCAAUCCCCUCAAACCCCUUAUUCUGCAUAAACAAGUAUUAUAAUUUCACCCUAUACCCCCCCAUUCCCUUAUCUGCAUGAAAGGAACUCGGCAAACCCUCUUUCCGACUGUUUAACAAAAACAUUGCCACACGAUACCCUAUGUGUGGUAAGCCCUGCCCAGUGACUCUCCGUUCAACGGCCGCGGUACCCUGACCGUGCAAAGGUAGCAUAAUCAUUCGCCCUCUAAUUAAGGGAUUGUAUGAAUGGGUAAACGUAAAAGACGCUGUCUCUCAUGCACUUAUAAAAACUAACCUUCAGGUGAAGAGGCCUGAAUAGAAAUAAAGGACAAAAAGACCCUAUUGAGCUUUAUUAAACACUAAAUACUACCCCUCUACCUGAAAAAACAAAUCUUCCCUAUAAUUUGGUUGGGGCGACCGAGGAAUUAAACCUACUUCCUUUAAUUUUAAGACUUACAAGUCUCCUUAAAGAGCCGUUACACGACUCUUGAACCAAGCUACCAUAGGGAUAACAGGCUAAUCCUCCUUAAGAGUUCACAUUGACAGGAGGGCUUGGCACCUCGAUGUUGGCUUAAGGCACCCCUAAGAUGUAGCAGUCUUAAAUGGUAGGUUUGUUCAACCUUUAAAGCCCUUACAUGAGCUGAGUUCAGACCGGCGUAAGCCAGGUUAGCUUCUAUCCUUAUUUAACUACGAGACCGACAGUACGAAAGGACCCUGGCCCUCUAAACCCUUUAUAGUCUUAGAUAAUUUAUAAAUUUUACUUUAACUACUUUAUUUUAAAAAAGAAAAAAGUACCGAC